rnacentral:misc_RNA from 1 species
UACAUCCCUUCUCUGUAAUUGAAUGUGAUUCCCAGGAAGAAGAAAUUUCUUGAACCAUUUUGCCGAUUUUUUCAGAUACCUUUUCAAUCCAUUUUUGUAGUCUACAUAGACCAUUCCAAAACGAAUUUCAUAACCAUCUUCCCAUUCAAAAUUGUCUAGAAGUGACCAUCCAAAGUAUCCCUUUAUUUUCACGCCACUCUUAAUUGCUUUCUGGACGAAUGAAAGAUGAUCAUUGAAGUAACGAAUUCUAUAGUCAUCCUCUACAAUUAUCCAAUCAGUAUCAAGCUCACUAACUCCAUUCUCAGUAAUGUAAAUGAUUGGAUCAUUAAACUUGUUCUUGGUGUAGAGCAAAAGAUCUAGAAUUCCUCUUGGAUACACAUAAAGCCAAUCUGAUCCUGUCGCAGGACCAAUGGGAAUCCCAUUU